GAGUGCGGCACCAGGGGGCAGCGCGCGCUGCGCGUCCGUUAGGAGUGGCAGACGGAGCUGCACAUGUGUAGUCAGCCGGAAUUUUUCGUGUCGUGUUGUAAAAGUUGUUAAUUUGCCGUAAAUAUCUCUUGAUUUGUACUCAAGAGUGAAGCAAGACUCCAAGGAAGAGAGAUUGACGCAUCGGGAGCGAAGAACAGAAACGAUGGAUGGUUACGCUGCUUGGGUCUCAGCACGUUCGAAUUGGCAAAGUUCCGAAUUUGUCGCUGUGUUUUGUACGCUUGUGCGCUCGUCAUUUGCCGUCAUCGCGCGGAGAUAUUUGCGCUGGAUGUCUUUCACUUCGUGUACAAAACUCUGCACGCUGCGGCAUCGUAGAAGUUGUCCUGUGUUUGGGUUGCACGUAUGCGCUUGGACACGGAUAUAUCCUGCUUGCUCUCAACGGGUGUUCAACAGUCUACGCGCACUCGUAACUUGCUCAUGAGGCAAGUUGCUGUUGUGCUGGAGCUGAGAAGAGGUCUGCUGCCUGCAAUGGGUCCAUCUCUCUCAAGUUAUCGCAGUAUUGUAGCUCUCAAAUGAUGUGACUUUCUCUGCACAUGUUGCAGGUUCAAAAAAGUACGGUGGAAGCUGUUGCCAAGGUUCCGACCAGAAAAGACAGCCAGUAUAAAAGGGUCCACACCACUGAUCUCUACUACAGGGCAUGGACAGCACAUCGAGCACCCUCGACUGAAGCCAGCCUUGUCCCGGAAGUUGGUGCUUCACAACUUUGCGGCAGCACUUCGUUUGCACGGCCUGUGGAGACAAGGUUUCUUAGACAUGGCCAUGGCCCUCAAGGAAGAUGCCGAGGCCACAGGCAGUUCCUCCAGUGACCGUGAAAAGGUCCCCUGGGGCACAAGUCUAAUUUGGCACCCCUACCUUUCUCCUGCAGCUUUUCUGUCUACUUAGCUAACCAGCAGCAAGUUUAUCCUUGCAAGCAUUUUGGGUCAAGAACAACUUUCACCAGGAAGAAGUGCAAGACGAGUGAUUGAAGAAAAUAAAGUUGCUUCUGUGAUCUAAGAA